UACGGAGGGGGCUAGCGUUGUUCGGAAUUACUGGGCGUAAAGCGCACGUAGGCGGCUUUGCAAGUUAGAGGUGAAAGCCCGGGGCUCAACUCCGGAAUUGCCUUUAAAACUGCAUCGCUAGAAUUGUGGAGAGGUAAGUGGAAUUCCGAGUGUAGAGGUGAAAUUCGUAGAUAUUCGGAAGAACACCAGUGGCGAAGGCGACUUACUGGACACAUAUUGACGCUGAGGUGCGAAAUCGUGGGGAGCAAACAGG
rnacentral:rRNA from 1 species